ensembl:lncRNA
AUGACCAACCUGUCAAGCACAUUCCAACCCCUGCUUGCAGUGGGUCAGCUCCUAUUUGAAGGCCAAAGAAAGUCGUGUGACCAAGACCAAGAGCCCCUUCACCACUGGACAAGCGGCCAGGAUUCUGUUAAUGAUCAAACUGGAGCAACGCGCAGCUGGUCUCGCUGGUCACCGGAAGCUCAGGAAGAAAUGAAGCCACUGGGAAAAACCACUGAUGCCGUGACCUUCUGCUCACAGGGCCCCAGUGCAGGCCAAAGACAGUCCCCAGCAGAUUCUGUUCUGAGAAAUGAAGCGAGACUGUCAGGCUUUUGUGUGAAUUAUGGAGGGAGGAUUCACAGCCCUUGGAAUCAUCUGGAAUCCUCACAAGGCGAUCUUUCAAGUCCGGAGCAUCUCCGGCAGCGGCUUUCUUUUCGCUACCUCUGAGAAGACCCUCGGGAGAGGCUGGCCUGGGGUCUUCCCAGCAAAUGCGCAUCUGGCUCCGGGCUGCUGUGAUGGAUAGAGGCAAUUUCCCCGCGAAAUCGGCUGCAGUAUUGGCAGUUGCACGGGACAUCCAUUACAUUCCUGCGGAGAGAGAGCUUUUCCAGGGAGCCUCAGGAUGGAGCGAUGCCACUCACAAGGCGGGUGGGGAAGCAGAAAUAACCUAAAGGGAAAGGCGUCUAUUUUAAUUUUUUGCAGAGCUGCGUCUCCUGCAUAUGGGUCCAGCCCACUCUUGUGAAGCGGCUCCUUUUGGAAAAUAAGGGGACUUGCAAACGGCUUUGUUAAAGGUAAGGACGCUAAGAGAAACAGAAGCUCGUGCAAACAGAACCCAGUGCCUCUAUGUGCAUAGGCAGACCCCUUGAUCAAGGAGCC